rnacentral:rRNA from 1 species
AUGGGAAAUUACCACCAUCUUCUUCUUCGACGGUGGAUGCUAGUCAUGGUGGUGGCAGUAGCACUCCAUGCGCAUGGUGGUCUACUGGCAGUGCAGGCGGCGGCGCAGAAGCAGCUGGUGCCGUGCAUGUACAUCUUCGGCGACUCGCUGGUGGACAACGGCAACAACAACAACAUCCUCAGCCUCGCCAGGGCCAACUACCGCCCCUACGGCGUCGACUUCCCCGACGGCGCCGCGCCGCCCGGCCGCUUCACCAACGGCCGCACCAUGGUCGACCUGCUCGCCGGCCUCCUCGGCUUCCAGCCGCCCUUCAUCCCGGCCUACGCCAUGGCGCAGCCCUCCGACUACGCGCGCGGCCUCAACUUCGCCUCGGGCGCCGCCGGCGUCAGGCCGGAGACCGGGAACAACCUCGGCGGCCACUACCCUCUGUCGGAGCAGGUGAGCCACUUCCGGUCGGUGGUGGGCCAGAUACCGCCGGCGGGGAGGGAGAAGCGGCUCGGCCGGUGCAUCUACUACGUGGGCAUGGGCAGCAACGACUACCUCAACAACUACUUCAUGCCCGACUACUACAACACCGCGCAGGCCUACGACCCCGCCGCCUACGCCGCCGCCCUCCUCCAGGAGUACGAACUUCAGCUCACCGCCCUCUACGCCCUCGGCGCCAGGAAGUUCGUCGUCGCCGGCGUCGGCCAGAUCGGCUGCAUCCCCUACGAGCUGGCCAGGAUCGACGACGACGGCGACGACGACCAAGGACGAGGACGCCCCCCUCCCACUUCCGGCAUCGGCCUCUCGAUCCCUGGCAUCACCGUCAGCAUCGGCGGCAGCGGCGGCAACCGGAGCACAGCUAACGGCGGCGCGAAAAAGAGCGGGUGCAACGACAAGAUCAACAGCGCCAUCGCCAUCUACAACAAGGGGCUGCUGGCCAUGGUGAAACGCCUCAACCGCGGGCAGCAGACGCCAGGGGCAAACCUCGUCUUCCUCAACGCCGUCAACAGCGGCAAGGACCUGGCGGCCAACGCGGCGGCGUACGGGUUCACGGUGCUCGACCGCGGCUGCUGCGGCGUGGGGAGGAACAACGGCCAGAUCACGUGCCUGCCCAUGCAGCGGCCCUGCGACGACCGCACCAAGUACAUCUUCUGGGACGCCUUCCACCCCACGGAGGCGGCCAAUAGGAUCAUAGCCAACAAGGUCUUCAGCUCAUCCUCCACCUCCGACGCCUACCCCAUCAACGUCAGCCGCCUCGCCGCCAUAUGA